rnacentral:rRNA from 1 species
UACGUAGGGGGCUAGCGUUGUCCGGAUUUAUUGGGCGUAAAGAGCGUGUAGGCGGCCAGAUAGGUCCGUUGUGAAAACUGGAGGCUUAACCUCCAGCCGUCGACGGAAACCAUUUGGCUAGAGUCCGGAAGAGGAGAGUGGAAUUCCUAGUGUAGCGGUGAAAUGCGCAGAUAUCUGGAGGAACACCGGUGGCGAAGGCGGCAUUCUGGACCGAAACUGACGCUGAGGCGCGAAAGCCAGGGGAGCAAACGGG